rnacentral:rRNA from 1 species
GUGAGGAAUAUUGGUCAAUGGACGAGAGUCUGAACCAGCCAAGUAGCGUGAAGGAUGACUGCCCUAUGGGUUGUAAACUUCUUUUAUACGGGAAUAAAGUGAGGCACGUGUGCCUUUUUGUAUGUACCGUAUGAAUAAGGAUCGGCUAACUCCGUGCCAGCAGCCGCGGUAAUACGGAGGAUCCGAGCGUUAUCCGGAUUUAUUGGGUUUAAAGGGAGCGUAGGCGGACGCUUAAGUCAGUUGUGAAAGUUUGCGGCUCAACCGUAAAAUUGCAGUUGAUACUGGGUGUCUUGAGUACAGUAGAGGCAGGCGGAAUUCGUGGUGUAGCGGUGAAAUGCUUAGAUAUCACGAAGAACUCCGAUUGCGAAGGCAGCUUGCUGGACUGUAACUGACGCUGAUGCUCGAAAGUGUGGGUAUCAAACAGGAUUAGAAACCCUUGUAGUCC